GCUGGGUGUGGUGGCGCACACCUGUAGUCCAAGCUGCACUGGAGGCUGAGGCAGGAGGAUCACUUGAGCCCAGGAGUUUGAAGUUGCUGUGAACUAGGCUGAGGCCACAGCAUUCAAGCCUGGGCAACAGAGUGAGACUCUGUCUCAA
rnacentral:SRP_RNA from 1 species